AGGGCACCACCAGGAGUGGAGCCUGCGGCUUAAUUUGACUCAACACGGGAAAUCUCACCAGGCCCGGACACCGGAAGGAUUGACAGAUUGAGAGCUCUUUCUUGAUUCGGUGGGUGGUGGUGCAUGGCCGUUCUUAGUUGGUGGGGCGAUUUGUCUGGUUAAUUCCGAUAACGAACGAGACUCUGGCCUACUAACUAGACGUUGGAUCCCUUUGUGGGUCCAUCGCAGCUUCUUAGAGGGACGGGCGGCGUUUAGCCGCACGAGAUUGAGCAAUAACAGGUCUGUGAUGCCCUUAGAUGUUCUGGGCUGCACGCGCGCUACACUGAAGGAAUCAGCGUGUGUUCCCUAUCCGAAAGGAUUGGGAAACCCGUUGAACCUCCUUCGUGAUGGGGAUUGGGGAUUGCAAUUAUUCCCCAUGAACGAGGAAUUCCCAGUAGGCGCGAGUCAUAAGCUUGCGUCGAUUACGUCCCUGCCCUUUGUACACACCGCCCGCCGCUACUACCGAUCGAGUGAUUUAGU
rnacentral:rRNA from 1 species